AUCCAGCUGACGAGUCUCAGACAGGACGAAACGCGCGUCCUGGAU
rnacentral:hammerhead_ribozyme from 1 species